rnacentral:rRNA from 1 species
CCUACGGGAGGCAGCAGUGGGGAAUCUUGCGCAAUGGGCGAAAGCCUGACGCAGCGACGCCGCGUGAGGGAUGAAGGUCUUCGGAUCGUAAACCUCUGUCAGCAGGGAAGAACGGUCGCUGUGCUAAUCAGCAGUGAAUUGACGGUACCUGCAAAGGAAGCACCGGCUAACUCCGUGCCAGCAGCCGCGGUAAUACGGAGGGUGCGAGCGUUAAUCGGAAUUACUGGGCGUAAAGCGAUCGUAGGCGGUAUGUCAAGUCAAGGGUGAAAGCCCCGCGCUUAACGUGGGAACUGCCUUUGAAACUGGCAAACUGGAGUGUGGGAGAGGAUAGUGGAAUUCCAGGUGUAGGAGUGAAAUCCGUAGAUAUCUGGAGGAACAUCAGUGGCGAAGGCGACUAUCUGGCACAUAACUGACGCUGAGGAGCGAAAGCGUGGGUAGCAAACAGGAUUAGAUACCCCUGUAGUC